rnacentral:lncRNA from 1 species
CAUAUCGCCGGAGCUGCUGUCGCCCGAGAGCAUGGGGGUGAAGCUGAAGCCCAUCAAGACCCGGACCUCCCUCAUUGUCUAAACAGCAUGUGGGGGGAGAUCUUGGAUGGCCUGACGACACAGCUCGCAAAAAAGCGAAGACUGCUUGGUCGAGCUGAUCGGAGCACGGUCACCAUCGCGAGACAAGUUUUGAUACCUUCCGGUACCUUGGCACGGAACGCAUUGCAUAGAUCGAGAUCGAUACGCUAAUGGCAGCAUUUGCUGUAGUGGAUUGCUGUAAGCCUGUAAUCUACGUCUUCUGGGAUAGGCAAGCAAGGGGAAUAGGGUUGAGGUUGUAGGGGAGGAAUACGGCUGUUUGUUUCUUUGUUCAUAUAUGCUUUGUAGUAGUCCACAUCACAUGUGUAUAUGUCAUCAUCAGAUCAUUUCACACGGGAA